AACCAGCACCUCAAGUGGUCAGGAUGAUUAUUGGGCCUAAAGCAUCCGUAGCCUGUUCUGUAAGUUUCCGGUUAAAUCCAUACGCUCAACGUAUGGGCCGCCGGAAAUACUGCAGAACUAGGGAGUGGGAGAGGUAGACGGUACUCGGUAGGAAGAGGUAAAAUUCUUUGAUCUAUUGAUGACCACCUGUGGCGAAGGCGGUCUACCAGAACACGUUCGACGGUGAGGGAUGAAAGCUGGGGGAGCAAACCGG
rnacentral:rRNA from 1 species